rnacentral:rRNA from 1 species
UACAGAGGGGGCUAGCGUUGUUCGGAAUUACUGGGCGUAAAGGGCGCGUAGGUGGCCUGUUAAGUCGAACGUGAAAUCCCCGGGCUCAACCCGGGAACUGCGUCCGAGACUGGCAGGCUCGAAUCCGGGAGAGGGAUGUGGAAUUCCAGGUGUAGCGGUGAAAUGCGUAGAUAUCUGGAGGAACACCGAUGGCGAAGGCAGCCUUCUGGGCCAACACUGACGCUCAUGCACGAAAGCGUGGGGAGCAAACAGG